rnacentral:tRNA from 1 species
CUUGGCCGAGUGGUCUAAGGCGCCGGUUCUUAUACGAAAAUUCCCGGUGGGCGCAAGCCUGCGUAGGUUCGAAUCCUACAGC